CGUUAUUACAGGCAUGUAAGCAAUUUGAGUUAAUUGUAUCCCAUUAGCAGUUAAUUGAGUAGCGUGGCUGGAGAACAACGCGUGGCUGGAGGAACAAUUGAAAAAUGGAUAAGAUAAUAAAACAAAAAAAUGAUCAAAUUAUGAAGCUGCAGGCCCAAUUAUUGGAACAACACAAAAUAUUAGAUAACAGCAAAGCUAAGGAUGCUCAAAUUUUGAGUCUACAAGCUCAGCUAGGGGAAAAGAACAAAUUGGAACAGAACAGUUUCCAAACAGUGAAGGAGG